GAUGAACGCUGGCGGCGUGCCUAAUACAUGCAAGUCGAGCGAACAGAUAAGGAGCUUGCUCCUUUGACGUUAGCGGCGGACGGGUGAGUAACACGUGGGUAACCUACCUAUAAGACUGGAAUAACUCCGGGAAACCGGGGCUAAUGACGGAUAACAUUUAGAACCGCAUGGUUCUAAAGUGAAAGAUGGUUUUGCUAUCACUUAUCGAUGGACCCGCGCCGUAUUAGCUAGUUGGUAAGGUAACGGCUUACCAAGGCAACGAUACGUAGCCGACCUGAGAGGGUGAUCGGCCACACUGGAGCUGAGACACGGUCCAGACUCCUACGGGAGGCAGCAGUAGGGAAUCUUCCGCAAUGGGCGAAAGCCUGACGGAGCAACGCCGCGUGAGUGAUGAAGGCCUUCGGAUCGUAAAACUCUGUUAUUAGGGAAGAACGAAUGUGUAAGUAACUGUGCACGUCUUGACGGUACCUAAUCAGAAAGCCAGGGCUAACUACGUG
rnacentral:rRNA from 1 species